rnacentral:rRNA from 1 species
AUGGGAGGUACAGGCAGAGAAAUUGAUGCCAAUUUCAGUGUUUCUCUGGGCGCCAUGAGACCCCUUCUUAAGAAGCUUGAAAUGAUGCUAGGUCCUCAUGGAUGCAAGCUGACCAAGGGGCUCAAUGAUAGGUCGCAGCUCCUCAAAGAUGAUCUUGAAGAAAUAGGCGCAUACCUUGAAGAUCUGUUAGAGGUGGAGGACCCUUCCCCGGUGGCCAAGUGCUGGAUGAAAGAGGCACAAGAGCUAUCUUAUGACAUCCUAGAUUGUAUUGACAACUUUGUGCCCCCUGAGUCUCUUGGCUACAAAUCUGACUACAAGAUGAGUCGUGUUAAGAUUCCCAAGAGGCUCAAGUGGCAGAAACAGAUUGAAUAUGCAGCUCCUAAUGUGCCAGCACAUGUUAUCUCUAAAACCAUUCGUGUUGAUGUCAUUCGUGCUCCCAAGAAGCUCAAGUGGUACCAGCAGAUGGUUGAAAAGGUAUCAGAAUUCAGGAUCUAUGCCCGGGAGGCGAUCUGGCGGCACGAGAGGUACCAGGUCCAUUGUUGUAGCACCUCAGCGGCACGUAGAUUUUCAGCCAUUGGGCCUAUAAUGCCAAUGCCGCCACUACCUUGUGAGAAGACUUGUUCCGGCCUAGUAAUUGAUGGUCGAAUGAGCAAGUUUAUCAACUCGCUGGCUAACGACACGGAUCAGCAGCUCAAGGUGGUGUCUAUUCAUGGAUCUGGAUCUCUUGGCAAAACAAUGCUUGCCAAAGUGUUGUACAAUAAAAUUGGAAGGCAAUUCCAUUGCAGGGCUUUCAUCCGGGUGUCCAAAAAGCCUGAUAUGAAGAGGCUUUUCCGCAACAUGCUAUCACAAAUCCAGCGGAAGCAGCCCCAAGAAACCCAAGAAGCUUCUGAUGAACUUCACAUUACUGCUGAAAAUAUCAGGAAUUAUCUACAUGGCAAGAGGUAUCUAAUUGCUGUUGAUGAUUUAUGGGAUACAUCAGCAAGGAAUGUUAUUAAUCAGCUCUUCCCCAAGUGUAGUCAAGGAAGCAGAAUAGUGACAACUACACAGAUUGAAGAUGUUGCAUUAGCAUGUUGCAGCGAUGACCCAGAACAAGUUUUUGAGAUGAAUCCAUUGGAUGAUGUUCACUCAAGGAAGCUAUUCUUUGGCAGGCUUUUUGGUUCUGAAAGUGAUAGUCCUGAAGAAUUGAAACAAGUUUCAGGUCAAAUUAUAGAGAUAUGUGGUGGUUUGCCGCUAGCAAUCAUCAGCAUAGCUAGUCUGUUAGCAAACCACCCUUCCCUAUCAAUGGAUUUAUUGACACACAUACAUGACUCGUUGAUCUCCUGUUUGACAUCAAAUUCCACUUCAGAAGGAACAAGAAAAAUACUAAACCUCAGCUACAACAGCCUUCCUCAUUACUUCAAGACAUGCUUGCUCCAGCUCUGUAUGUAUCCAGAGGGCUCCAUAUUCUUCAAACAUGACCUGGUCAGGCAAUGGGUGGCUGAAGGGUUUCUUGCUGCAUGUGAAGGGCAAAAUAUGGAACAAGUUGCCGGAAUGUAUUUUGAUGAACUUGUUGAUAGAAGAUUCAUCCAACCUGUGUCUAUCAACUUCAACAAUGAGGUGGUGUCCUGCACAGUACAUGACGUGGUACAUGAUCUUAUUGCACACAUGUCUGCUGAAGAGAAUUUCCUUGUGGUAGUAGAUUACAAUCGAAAAAAUUUGGCACUUUCUCAUAAGGUCCGUCGACUGUCUCUCCAACUUGGUGAUGCAAACUAUGCCAAGAUACCAGCAAACAUCAGAAAGUCACAAGUACGGUCACUUGGAUAUUUUGGAUUAUCGGAAUGUAUGCCUUGCAUUGGAGAGUUCAAGAUUCUCCGUGUUCUAAACCUUCAGUUGUGCGAUCUUCGCCAUGGUGAGCAAGACCUGGCGAUAGACCUCACUGGAAUAUCAGAAUUGUUCCAUUUGAGAUAUUUGAAGAUUGCUUGUGAUGUCUGCAUAGAACUGCCAAGCCGUAUGAUAGGGCUUCAAUGUCUGGAAACACUGGAUGUCAAGGAUACAACAAGAGGUACUCAUGUUCCAUGGGAUAUUAUAUAUCUCCCACACUUGUUGCACCUCAGUCUUCCUGCCCACUCAGAUCUGCUGGAUUGGUCCGUCAAUCCACCUGGGAGCCUUGGCUUGUUGAACCACCUGCAGGAUAUUUAUAUUUCUAUACCGCCUUCUUCUGAUUCCUACCAUCUGAACCGAAGUAUGGAAGCUCUGGAUUCUUUAAUAUGUGAAGAUGGCAGCCUAAAAACUAUAAAAGUGGUGGCUCACGGAUCCUUGGUUGGGUAUGGUGACGCUUCAAAAGCAAUCACUGGCUGGUAUUUCGUCAAACCUCCCCACCAUCUCCAGAGAUUUGAGCUCUCAGUCUCACCGCGCAAACUCGUCAAAUUUUCUCGUCUGGAUCUGGAUGUGUGGAUGAAACAACUUGGCAACCUAAGCAUUCUGAAGAUUGCAGUGGAUGGACUGUCAGUAAACGAUGUUGCUAUUCUUAGAGGGUUGCCUGCCCUCACUGCUCUGUCGUUGUAUGUGGAGAAGUCACCUGAUAUUAAGAUAAUCUUUGGCACGGCUGCAGGAUUCACCAGAAUUUUCACAGCUCUCAAGUACUUGAAGCUGAGGUUCAUGAGUGGAAUAGCUUGGCUAAAACUUGAGGCGGACGCAAUGCCUAAUCUCUGGAAGCUCAGGCUCGUUUUCGACGCCAUCCCCCGAAUGAACCAACGACUUGAACUUUUUUCGGAGUCUGAGCAGUGGAAACAAUAUCGACAUGGUACUGCAUUAAUCAGCAUCGAGCAUAUGAGAGACCUUAGAGAGGUCACCGCAAAAUUUGGAGGUGCAGCUGCUUAUCUGCAGUAUGUCUCGAGGAUCGGCGUAGUUAUUAAUCAUCCGAGCAAUCCUAUAAUUGGCGUGCAACUGGUGGAUUCUGGUUCCGAUUUUGGUGAUAAAAGGAUAUCACCGGAGUCCACUUCCUGCCCGCUGCAUGUUCCAGGAGCGGGAGCUGAUGGUGGAGAGGUCUCGUGGAGCAAUAUGAUUGGUGUGAUAGGUCGUGACCUCUUCAUCUAUUGCCUCCACCGUCUUUCCAGGUGGGAAUAUGGCGCCAUCGCCUCCCUCAACCUUGAUUUGAAUUCCGUGGUUUGCAACGGGGACAUCUACCGCCUGCGUCGCAAGAAUGGGGUCGCAGAGCACUGGAUCUAUCUCUCUUGCGGUAAUAAUCCUCCGGAGUGGGAGGCUUAUGACCCGUCCACUGAGCGCUGGAUCCAAGUGCCCAAGAUGCCACCGGCUCAAAGCAAAUUCAUCUCGGAGUCGCUCGCCGUAGGAACCGAGCUGCUGGUGUUUGGGGACUGCGGAAGGGUUGCCUUGAGAUAUAGCAUCCUUACCAAUUCAUGGACAUGGCUGGCUGAUGCUGAUGCGAUGAACACCCCGCGCUACUGGUUUGGGUCAGCGAGUGUCGGUGAAAAGGCGUAUGUCGCGGGAGGCAAGGAUUCUUCUUGUAAUGUGUUGAUCUCCGCAGAGAUGUAUGACUCGGAGACGCAUACUUGGACACCCCUUCCCAGCAUGAAUAGGGCUAGGUACGGAUGCUCUGGCGCCUUCAUGGACGGCAAGUUCUAUGUGCUCGGUGGUAAUAGCAGUAGUCACAAGGUAUUGACAUGCGGUGAGGAGUAUGACUUGAACCGGCGGUCAUGGAGGCUCACCGACAACAUGUCUCAGGGGAUCAACGAGACAAGACUGGGAGCUCCUCUGCUCCUAGCAGUUGUGAACAAUGAGCUUUAUGCUGCUGAUUACAGUGAGAAUAAUGAUUUGAAGCAGUAUGAUAAGCUGGACAAUAAGUGGAUCAUGCUUGGGAAAUUGCCUGUACAGUCUAAGGAGAAAGAUGGCUGGGACAUGGGUUUCCGAGCGUGUGGUGACUGGCUGAUUGUUAUUGGGCCUCCAAACAAUUCUAGUGAUGAAAAGGAGGUUGAGCUUCAUUCAUGGAUCCCGGAUGGGCAACCGCCUGCGUGGAAUUUGUUUGCCACACGGCCAUACGUUGGCGGCUGGAUUAUGUGCCCCCUGAUGGGUUGCUGA